GGGAAAAGCAAGAUGUUCAAGCUUGGAAACUGUGUUCUAAGUUGUGAAGGACUCCAGAAGGCUUGGGGCUCAGUAUGAAGAGGACGGGUUUUCAUUAAUGAUAUUCUGCCAAGCCCAACCGACAUACGGAAAUGUUUUAUAUCUUCAGGAUAAAUAGUUUGGCCGAACCAAAUUUUCUCACCAUGCAUAAAUCGAAG